GAACUAUUACAUGCCCUGAGAUACAGAAGCGCGCAAGACCAACAAGAUCCAUGAGCUUACAUUUGAAGGCAAAGAAAGCUGGAAAAUCUUAUGAAAUCAAUACCAGGAGGAAGGAGAAGACCUGUGAUCUGUUUCUUUCCGUUUAUGAGGAGAUGGUGUACAUGCCCAAGAAGGAGAGAAGACAGGAGGCCAGGCACAGUAUCCUUGUGAACAUAUCUCUCCCCUGUGAGAAACCAGCCACCAUGUUGUAAGCAGCCCUGUGGCGAGACCCACAUGAGGAAGACCAGGGCUUGCCAACAUCCUCUGAAUGCACGUGGAAACAGAUCUCUGUCCCUCCCCUCAAGGCCCAGCUGUGCAUCCAAAUGAGAUCACAGCCUUUGUUGACAGCUUGACAGUCUCCUCAUGAGCCAGAGAAAUCAGCUAG